GUGCUUGCUUUGGCAGCAUAUACACUAAAAUUGAAAUGAUACAGAGAAGAUUAGCAUAGCCCCUGCACAAGGACAACAUGCAAAUUCGUGAAGCAUUCCAUAUUUUU